rnacentral:sRNA from 1 species
CCUCGUCCAUGAUCUGCGGGCAGAUGAAAUGGACAUGGCAGUCGAUCGCACCCGCGGUGAGGAUCUUGCCGUUGCCCGCGAUGAUCUCGGUCGAUGGACCGAUGACGAGGUCGGGGUGGACCCCGUCCAUCGUGUCCGGGUUGCCGGCCUUGCCCAUCGCGAUGAUGCGCCCGUCGCGAAUACCGAUGUCGGCCUUGAUGAUCCCCCAGUGGUCGAGAACCACCACCCCGGUGAUGACGGUAUCCGGGGCGCCGUCGGCGCGGGUGGCGCGGCUUUGCCCCAUGGACUCG